rnacentral:rRNA from 1 species
GAUGAACGCUGGCGGCAUGCCUAACACAUGCAAGUCGAUCGGUAAGGCUCUUCGGAGUACACGAGAGGCGGACGGCUGAGUAACGCGUAGGAACACACCCUGCAGUGAGGGAUAAGACACCGAAAGGUGUUCUAAUACCGCAUACGCUCUUCGGAUUAAAGCAUUUAUGCGCUGAAGGAGUGGCCUGCGUCAUAUUAGAUAGUUGGUGAGGUAAUGGCUCACCAAGUCGAUGAUGUGUAGCUGGUCUGAGAGGAUGAUCAGCCAGACUGGAACUGAGACACGGUCCAGACUCCUACGGGAGGCAGCAGUGAGGAAUAUUUCACAAUGAGCGAAAGCUUGAUGGAGCAAUGCCGCGUGCAGGAUGAAGGCCCUCGGGUUGUAAACUGCUUUUAUAAGGGAAGAUUAUGACGGUAACUUAUGAAUAAGGGACGGCUAACUACGUG